rnacentral:rRNA from 1 species
ACGUUGUGAGAAGUUCAUUAAACCUUAUCAUUUAGAGGAAGGAGAAGUCGUAACAAGGUUUCCGUAGGUGAACCUGCGGAAGGAUCAUUGAACACACGAUCAAAAAUGUUGACGAACCUCUUACCCCCCCUCCUUGGGCACGCCUCGAAGAGAGGGGUAAGGAACCACCUCAAAACUUUCAAAAAUGUACCCACCAAAGGAACGGCAAGCUCUGAAAACCCGAGGGGAUCGCACUGUAGAGGUGCGGUCGUCGACUGUGUGAUUCCGGGACUCGCAGGCAUCGACUCCUCAGGGAGAGGCGCUUGAAAGUCCCACCGCGGGUGCGUCGCGGGCGUGUCUCCAUCGUCGUCGGGGCGUCCCUUUCUCACGACUCCCGUGCAGCGUCUCCCCUCCGUCUCUUAGAGGCGGGGAGAGGACCUGUCGGGAGUAGGACGUUUUCUCCCCCCGCCCUCCUCUCAGGAGCACCCUUCCCUCCGGGUCGCCUCUUCCUCCACGGAGGAGACUCCGGAUUCGCGGGGAUCCCGAGAGCUUUCCCAGCUUGUCUUUCCGUGGGUACAGAAUCAGCCAAACGUCCAACAAAGAAUGCAAGACAGACGAACUUUAUAAAAAAAACGGACUCUCAGCAACGGAUAUCUUGGCUCUUGCAACGAUGAAGAACGCAGCGAAAUGCGAUACCUAGUGUGAAUUGCAGAAUUCCGCGAAUCAUCGAGUUUUUGAACGCAAGUUGCGCCCGAGGCUCUUACCGAGGGCAUGUCUGUCUGAGCGUCCAUGGGGUCCCGCCCAUCCACUUCGCCGUGCUGGCGGGGAUACUAGGAUGGGCGCCGGGAUGGCCUAUGUGCGGACCAACCAUCGGGCUUCGCCCAAUGGGAAGCGUCCCGCUCGGCUGAAAUCUACGUCCGUCCUGAAAAUCGGAAGGGACGUUGCGAGAAGGUGCUCCGCUCCGCGAAAGCGGGCGGACGAUAUCGUUGAUGUCGACAGCACGCAGCGCUCCCUUCCCUCUUGAAAGGGCUCGGAAAAAAAACGGGACUCCCGUCAUUGCACGGGAGUUUUUCACGUCUUGGACCUCAGAUCAGGCAAGAUCACCCGCUGAGUUUAAGCAUAUCACUAAGCGGAGGAAAAGAAACUAACAAGAUUUCCUUAGUAACGCGA